rnacentral:rRNA from 1 species
ACUCCUACGGGAGGCAGCAGUGGGAAUAUUGCACAAUGGGGGAAACCCUGAUGACAGCCAUGCCGCGUGUGUGAAAGAAGGCCUUCGGGUUGUAAAAGCACUUUCAAGUAGGGAGGAAAGGUAGUGUAGUUAACACCUGCACUAUUUGACGUUACCUACAAGAAGAAGCACCGGCUAACUCCGUGCCAAGCAGCCGCGGUAAU